rnacentral:rRNA from 2 species
GAGUAGCACGGGGCCCGUGAAAUCCCGUGUGAAUCUGCGAGGACCAUCUCGUAAGGCUAAAUACUACUGUGUGACCGAUAGUGAACCAGUACCGCGAGGGAAAGGUGAAAAGAACCCCGAAAGGGGAGUGAAAUAGAACCUGAAACCGUCAGCUUACAAGCAAUGGGAGCUCGAUUUAACGAGUGACCGUGUGCCUGUUGAAGCAUGAGCCGGCGAGUUAUAGGCAGUGGCAGGUUAAGACAUUUAUCGUCGCAGCCAAAGCGAAAGCGAGUCUGAAAAGGGCGUUCGUCACUGUUUAUAGACCCGAACCCGGGUGAUCUAACCAUGUCCAGGAUGAAGCUUGGGUAACACCAAGUGGAGGUCCGAACCGACUGAUGUUGAAAAAUCAGCGGAUGAGGUGUGGUUAGGGGUGAAAUGCCAAUCGAACCCGGAGCUAGCUGGUUCUCCCCGAAAUGUGUUGAGGCACAGCGGUCGAGAUUAAGUUUGGGGGGUAAAGCACUGUUUCGGUGCGGGCUGCGAGAGCGGUACCAAAUCGAGACAAACUCUGAAUACCAAACCCGUACUCAGCCAGUCAGACGGUGGGGGAUAAGCUCCAUCGUCGAGAGGGAAACAGCCCAGACCACCAGCUAAGGUCCCCAAAUGACUGCUAAGUGAUAAAGGAGGUGAGAGUGCACUGACAACCAGGAGGUUUGCCUAGAAGCAGCCACCCUUGAAAGAGUGCGUAAUAGCUCACUGGUCAAGCGCUCUUCGCCGAAAAUGAACGGGGCUAAGCAGUCUACCGAAGCUGUGGAAUAUGAAUAAUAUUGGUAGGGGAGCGUUCCGCAACGGUGUGAAGCACUAGCGACAAGCAGGUGUGGACUGUGCGGAAGUGAGAAUGUCGGCUUGAGUAGCGCAAAUGUAGGUGAGAAUCCUACACCCCGAAACCCUAAGGGUUCCAGAGCCAGGCUCGUCCGCUCUGGGUGAGUCAGGUCCUAAGGCGAGGCCAAACGGCGUAGUCGAUGGAUAACGGGUUAACAUUCCCGUACCGAUAAUUGUUGGUGCAGAGGGACGGAGAAGGCAAUCGCCAGCCGGAUGUUGGUUACCGGUUUAAGUAUUCGAGGUGUUGAGAGACGGUGAAAACGUCUUGAGCUGAGGUACGAGUACGACCUCCUACGGGAGGGAAGUGGUAGAUGUCAUGCUUCCUAGAAAAGCUCUAAACACCAUAAACAGUUAUUGCCUGUACCCGAAACCGACACAGGUAGGGAGGUUGAGUAAACCAAGGGGCGCGAGAUAACUCUCUCUAAGGAACUCGGCAAAAUUGCCCCGUAACUUCGGAAGAAGGGGUGCCACCGCAAGGUGGUCGCAGUGAAGAGUCCCAGGCGACUGUUUACCAAAAACACAGGUCUCCGCUAAGUCGCAAGACGACGUAUGGGGGCUGACGCCUGCCCAGUGCCGGAAGGUUAAGGAAGUCGGUCAGGGAGUAAUCCUGAAGCUGGCGACUGAAGCCCCGGUGAACGGCGGCCGUAACUAUAACGGUCCUAAGGUAGCGAAAUUCCUUGUCGGGUAAGUUCCGACCCGCACGAAAGGCGUAACGAUCUGGGAGCUGUCUCGGAGAGAGACUCGGCGAAAUAGAAUUGUCUGUGAAGAUACGGACUACCUGCACCUGGACAGAAAGACCCUAUGAAGCUUUACUAUAGCCUGGAAUUGUGUUCGGGCUUCGCUUACGCAGGAUAGGUGGGAGGCUUUGAAGUUCUGCUUGUGGGCAGGAUGGAGCCAACGGUGAGAUACCACUUUAGCGAGGCUAGAAUUCUAACCUUUUCCCAUUAUCUGGGAAAGAGACAGUUUCAGGGGGGUAGUUUGACUGGGGCGGUCGCCUCCUAAAAGGUAACGGAGGCGCACAAUGGUUCCCUCAGGCUGGUUGGAAAUCAGCCAUAGAGUGCAAAGGCAUAAGGGAGCUUGACUGUAAGACCUACAAGUCGAGCAGGGUGGAAACACGGUCUUAGUGAUCCGACGGUUCCGUAUGGAAGGGCCGUCGCUCAACGGAUAAAAGUUACUCUAGGGAUAACAGGCUGAUCUCCCCCAAGAGUCCACAUCGACGGGGAGGUUUGGCACCUCGAUGUCGGCUCAUCGCAACCUGGGGCGGAAGUACGUCCCAAGGGUUGGGCUGUUCGCCCAUUAAAGCGGUACGUGAGCUGGGUUCAGAACGUCGUGAGACAGUUCGGUCCAUAUCCGGUGCAGGCGCAAGAAGAUUGAGAGGAUUCCUCCCUAGUACGAGAGGACCGGGAGGGACGCACCGCUGGUGUACCUGUUAUCGUGCCAACGGUAAACGCAGGGUAGCCAAGUGCGGAGUGGAUAACCGCUGAAAGCAUCUAAGUGGGAAGCCCACCUCAAGAUGAGUACUCUCAUGGAGUUAUCCAGUAAGGUCACGGGCAGAACACCCGUUGAUAGGCGUAAGUGAAGU